rnacentral:rRNA from 1 species
CAGUCGCCACGGUAAUACGAAGGGGGCUAGCGUUGUUCGGAAUUACUGGGCGUAAAGGGCGCGUAGGCGGCCGAUCAAGUCAGGCGUGAAAGCCCCGGGCUUAACCUGGGAACUGCGUUUGGGACUGGUUGGCUUGAGUUCGGGAGAGGAGAGUGGAAUUCCCAGUGUAGAGGUGAAAUUCGUAGAUAUUGGGAAGAACACCGGUGGCGAAGGCGGCUCUCUGGACCGAUACUGACGCUGAGGCGCGAAAGCGUGGGGAGCAAACAGGAUUAGAUACCCCGGUAGUCCCUGUCUCUUAUAC